rnacentral:lncRNA from 1 species
CUGGCAGGGAAGUGACGGGUACAAUAACAAACCUGUUGAUCAUUUGGAGCAGCUGAAGUGGGUUUCUCCGAACUUCCAGACUGUCUUGAGUCGCGACGUGUCGAAAAGUACUUCUACCUGUCAGAUGACGUAAAGGAGGAAGCGGCGUGUGAUUGGCCGAUCGUGUCUCAGCGGGAACAUUUACGGAUGACAUCACCAUGGCCUACCUGUGAUGCACUAAGUCCUGGACUGCUGAUGUCUCCUUCUUCCUCCUGCUCCCUCUUUAAACAUGCCAACAUCCGCAGCUCAUCUUCCUCAUCCUCUUCGUCUUGACUUCUCAGAUCACACCUGCUGGAGCCCAAAGGUUGAACCCUCCCAUCGACACUCACCUGUAAACCCCAAAAAUCUCAUUACUUCAUCGGUGCCACUUUGUAAUGAGACUGAUCGUUACAGGGUAUAGCUAAUUAGCGAGCAAUCAAUCAAAGCUUGCCAGCUAAUUGGCACCCCCAUUAAGGCCAAGACAUCAGCAGGGAUGGUUGCCUGCUGCUAAGAAAUCCACUUAUACCAAGUCCUACCUGGAUCACGAGCGACCUUCCAGAUCAGCUUUGCAAACUUCAGCAGCAUCAAAGAUAUGUGCCAUGUUUAAAUGGGAGAACGCAGCGUUAUGGGGCAUCCGUAAUGAUUCUCAGUAAUUCCCACAUCAAACUCUAUAAGACGUUUAGCUAAUCACCGUUUCAGUCCUACGGUGAGAGACUGUGGUGGUUGUGCUCAAUGCUUGGACCAGUUUUAGUUGGUGUUUAACAAACUAAAAGAGGAAAUAACAGUAAUGAGUUCUCUUUGAUAUCCCAGUGGUUUCUCCUGGGCAAGGAGGAGAUGAAAUGGAGAGCAGAUGGAAAGUUUGCAUUACUGCGCUGCUUCACAUUUAUCGAGUCGGAACAUUUGGCCAUUUGGA